GUAAGUGACAAAGUUUUGUACGCAAACGAGAGUCCGUUUGAGCCUAAACCAAAAACAAAAAAGGCGCCGUCUGAGCCGAUGCUACUGGUAGCUCGACAAUUCAGCCAUCGAUGGUGGCGCCGCCGCCGUCCACAUAUCCGCCUCUCCCACACUGCACUCACCAACCUCAACUUCCACUCCGAAUCCGACGACUUCUUGUCGUGGCUGGAGCGCAAGUCCGGCACCGAAAUCUCUUCCGCGCUUUCGAUAGGGAAAUCCACUCUCGGAACGGCUCUCUUUGCUUCCAAGACCAUAAGAGCCGGAGACUGCAUAUUGAAAGUUCCGUACAGCGUGCAACUAGCUCCGGAUAAUCUUGCUCCGGAAUUGAGAGCUCUGUUAGGUGAUCGAGUCGGUGAUGUUGCGAAGGUCGCCAUUGUCAUUUUGCUUGAGCAGAAAAUGGGCCAGGACUCUGAAUGGGCUCCUUACAUCAGCCGGCUUCCUCGCCCCGAGGAGAUGCAUAGCACAAUAUUUUGGAGCGAAGAUGAGUUGGAGAUGAUUUGUCGAAGCUCUCUGUAUCAGGAGACAAUUAAUCAAAGAUCCCUUGUUGAAAAGGAAUUUUUGGCAGUUAGGAGAGCUCUUGAGCACUUUCCUGAGAUGUUCCAAAGUAUCAGCUGUAAGGAUUUCAUGCAUGCAUAUGCUUUAGUUACUUCUCGAGCAUGGGGAAGCAGAAAGGGUUAUUCCCUGAUUCCAUUUGCAGAUUUUUUGAACCAUGAUGGGACUUCAGAAUCAGUUGUGCUGAGUGAUGAUGACAGACAUUUCUCAGAGGUGAUUGCUGAUCGUAAUUAUGCUCAAGGUGAACAGGUGCUGAUAAGAUAUGGCAAAUUUUCAAAUGCUACCCUGCUGUUGGACUUUGGGUUUACACUUCCAUACAACAUUCACGACCAGGUCCAGAUCCAGGUAAACAUACCUCAUCAUGAUAUUCUUCGUGAUUUGAAGUUGGAACUUUUGAAGAGACAUCAUAGACCAAUCAACAAUGACAUCAAUGGUUUCAACUCGUCAGUGGAUUGUUUCACAAUCAAGGAAGUGAAAUCUGGUAGUGGAAAUGGGAAAGGAAUUCCACAGUCACUUCGUGCAUUUGCUCGUGUCCUAUGUUGUACCUCAUGUGAAGAACUUAGUGACCUGGCCAAUGAAGCAGUGGAACAUGAUGGUCGAUUGGCUCGGCGUCCUUUAACAAAUAGAAGCAGAGAGAUUGAAGCACAUCAGAUGCUGAUGGAAAAAUUAACCCAAUUAGCUGAAGAUUGUGAUGCAUCUUUUAAGUCUCUGGGACCCGUAAGUUCUCCUGUUACGUUUGAAAGGCCCUCUCUCCGGAAGCAAAUGGCUCGCGAUCUCCUUAAUGGAGAGCUUCGCAUCCUCAAAUCCGCGUGCGCAUGGCUUAAAGACUACUGCACAACCUUGACUGCAACAGACUACCAUUAAUAAUGCUUUACAAAGCUUAUCAAGGAGGCAAAAACCGAGAGGUGGUAUUAGAGGAGACUGGGACACUCAUCAAACUGUGGUUCUUACGGCCUUAACCUGAAGCCGGGACAUGUGGGAUCUGUCGCAAGUAGAGAGGAAAACAACAAUCUUGUGCAUGAUGUUGUAUCAUUAAACAUCAUGUAGCUCCAGCCUCGCACCAACCACCGUCCACCUAGCCAAUCAAAACAGUCGGCAUGGCGGGAAUCGUAAUUCUAACCGAUCUGAAGGGCUGUUAUAAAAUCAGGUCCGCCUUCUAAAUCUUAUCCUCCCCUAUAAAUACCAAGAGAGAAUAACGAGUCCUCGCUCUUCGCGAAACAAAGUCUAGGGUUCGAUUCUUCACUUUUAGCCUUCGUCUUCUUCAGAUAAAAUGCCUCGUCAUGAUGACCGCCACGGUGGUACACGGCUCUAUGUUGGUCGCUUGUCGUCCCGGACAAGAUCACGGGAACUGGAAGAUGUAUUCAGCAGAUAUGGAAGGUUUUUUGGCUUUUGCCAAACCUGGAGGUCUUGGUGAGGUCCAAUUGGUGGAUUUGGCGAGUCUUUCUAUAAAUAUUAUUGCGUUUUUUUAUCGAAAUGGCAACAAUCUCAAACUGGUGUUUAGUUCAUCUGUGAGGGGCGAAGUAUCAUCCCUUUGAUGCUUGUGUCAUGAUGGCCUUACUGU